UACGUAGGGUGCGAGCGUUAAUCGGAAUUACUGGGCGUAAAGCGUGCGCAGGCGGCGCGUUAAGACAGGUGUGAAAGCCCCGAGCUUAACUUGGGAAUUGCGCUUGUGACUGGCGUGCUGGAGUGUGGCAGAGGGAGGUGGAAUUCCACGUGUAGCAGUGAAAUGCGUAGAGAUGUGGAGGAACACCAGUGGCGAAGGCGGCGACCUGGGCCAAUAUUGACGCUGAGGUGCGAAAGCGUGGGGAGCAAACAGG
rnacentral:rRNA from 1 species